rnacentral:rRNA from 1 species
AGUAGUCAUACGCUAGUCUCAAAGAUUAAGCCAUGCAUGUGUAAGUCUAAAUAGUUUUAGUGUGAAACUGCGAAUGGCUCAUUAUAUCAGUUAUAGUUUAUUUGGAAUAGUUUCUAUAUGGAUAACCGUAGUAAUUCUAGGGCUAAUACAUGUGUUUUCUUUGAUGGGCAACCAUUAAAGAAGUACUUAUUAGACAUAAAACCAAUAAAAUGUUGUUGUGAGUAAUAAUAAUUGUUGACUUUAUCGCAUGCUUGUUAGUAGCGAUGUUCCUUUCAAGUUUCUGCCCUAUCAUCUUUCGAUGGUGGUGUAUUGGACUACCAUGGCAGUAACGGGUAACAAAAAA